GACGAACGCUGGCGGCGUGCUUAACACAUGCAAGUCGAACGGAAAGGCCCUGCUUGCAGGGUACUCGAGUGGCGAACGGGUGAGUAACACGUGGGUGAUCUGCCCUGCACUUCGGGUUAAGCCUGGGAAACUGGGUCUAGUACCGGAUAGAAGCCAUUUUUAGUGGGAUGGUUGGAAAGUUUUUUCGGUGUAGGAUGAGCUCGCGGCCUAUCGGCUUGUUGGUGGGGUAAUGGCCUACCAAAGCGGCGAAGGGUAGCCGGACUGUGAGGGUGGACGGCGACACUGGAUCUGAGGGAAGGCCGAGAUACCUACUGGUGGCAGAUGUGCGGAAUAUUGAACAAGGGGCGCCAGGCUGAUGCAGCGACGCCGCGGGGGGGAUGACGGUCUUCGGGUUGUAGACUCCUUUCGCUAGGGACGAAGCUUUUUGUGACGGUACCUAGAUAAGAAGCACCGGCUAACUACGUG
rnacentral:rRNA from 1 species